rnacentral:rRNA from 1 species
UACGGAGGGGGCUAGCGUUGUUCGGAAUUACUGGGCGUAAAGCGCGCGUAGGCGGCUUUGUAAGUUAGAGGUGAAAGCCCGGGGCUCAACCCCGGAACUGCCUUUAAGACUGCAUCGCUUGAAUCCAGGAGAGGUGAGUGGAAUUCCGAGUGUAGAGGUGAAAUUCGUAGAUAUUCGGAAGAACACCAGUGGCGAAGGCGGCUCACUGGCCCGGUACUGACGCUGAGAUACGAAAGCGUGGGGAGCAAACAGG